rnacentral:rRNA from 1 species
GACAGAGGAUGCAAGCGUUAUCCGGAAUGAUUGGGCGUAAAGCGUCUGUAGGUGGCUUUUAAGUCCGCCGUCAAAUCCCAGGGCUCAACCCUGGACAGGCGGUGGAAACUACCAAGCUGGAGCACGGUAGGGGCAGAGGGAAUUUCCGGUGGAGCGGUGAAAUGCGUAGAGAUCGGAAAGAACACCAACGGCGAAGGCAGCUCUGCUGGGCCGACACUGACACUGAGAGACGAAAGCUAGGGAGCAAAUGGG